rnacentral:lncRNA from 1 species
CACACUUCCUCCAACAGACACACGUAGUCCUUCAAAGCCACACCUCCACAGAGACCCUUCCUUCUCUGGAGGUAGUUUAAGAUGGUAAUCUGAUAUCACUUCAGGACUUAAACAGAACAGGGUUGGAUGGGUUGUUCGUGGAGGCAGAGAUUCCUUGUUUUGAAUCUAAGCGGGGCUUUUUGUGAUGACUUUGGUGCUUUCUGCAGAACUUUUUUUUUUGUUGUUGUUGUUUAACCAGAACAGUUCCAUAGGCAUUACUUAUGGUCAAAUCAAUGGUUUUUCCAGCAAGGGCUCAUUAAUCAGUUGCUAAGCCGCCACAAAUUACAAGGAAGAAGGAAAACAUCUCCGCAGAGAGGGAAAAGUGAUUAUUUCAGACAAAACUGUGAAGAACAUUAGUCUAGGAGAAAUGCUAUUUUGGUACAAAGACCAGAAAAGUAAUGAUCAGCAGAGGACUGGAUCCGGGAGACUAAAGGUACCGGGAAAGCUAACAGCCAAACAGUGAACCACUGUGUGAUUCAUCCAGCCCAUAUGGAGACUUUGCCAAGGACCUCUUUUCCUCAGAUGAGCAGACCCUUCGAGAGACAAGCAUAUUCUGGUAUCUCUGAUUCAGAAUCUAUGUUUCUGGAUGCAGCUAGAGGCACAGUGCUAAACUUCUUGGCACCUUGGUAUUCUAAGAUGAUGUCACUCUUCUGUGGAUGGAUGGAUUAACUAUCAUGAUACCUACUCAGAGUUUAAGAGCAUCCCGUAAAAGUGAAUCCUGCCAUGAGCAACACGCCAUCCAUCAGCCCCUCCCAACCCACCCUAAUGGAGUCUUCCUUUUCACCUCCUCCUGGAUCUCCAGGGCAGCUUUUCACUCGCCCUUCAUCAGUGAACUUCAUGGAACGGCUCUCAGAAUAUUCUACCAACCCCGUAUUUUCUGGAACAUUGUAGGAGAGACAUCAAUGCAAAUGCUUUUCCCCAACCCUAAGGUUUUCAAUAUGAAAGAUGGAACAUAGCCACCAGUGAUGACUACUUUCCUACUGCUACAUAUAAUAGUUUUGUUAUUUAUACUAAAACCACAAUGAACUUUCAGAGUGUUUUAACUAACUCAAGACUCAAGGGAAAAAGGGAAAAAAAACAAAACACUUUUCA